rnacentral:rRNA from 1 species
GCGGCACUANNGNNAGCGCGGUGGUCCCACCUGACCCCAUGCCGAACUCAGAAGUGAAACGCCGUAGCGCCGAUGGUAGUGUGGGGUCUCCCCAUGUGAGAGUAGGGAACUGCCAGGCAU